AGACAGUCAACAGCAAACAUGCUGAGCUGCUUCUCCACUUCGAGAGGUAUCGGCCUCAGGACCCCAGGUAGAGAAAGUAUCUGUAAAAGAUUGAGAAGAUGACUGACUCCAUCCAGAUGCCUCGUGACUGUCACAGACACCCCAGAGAUGGUCUCCCUGGGAGUGAUCACCAGUGACCUACCAAAAUCAAGCAAUCAAGAUCAUGUCUCCAUGACCAACGCAGACACACCCAGAAUUGUGCUCCAACAAUGCCCUGGCCUACUCCCGAGAAAAUCACACUGACACAACGAAACUUAACCAUCAUUUUCCAUUACUUGCCAACUUGACACUCAAACACAGUCCUUAAACCAUGCUUAAUCCUUUAAAAAACACAAAGUCAUUAUUCUGCCUAAUACAACUAUCUUACAUACAAUGAAAAAUGCAAUAAUUCCUUCCUUCAAACCUCAACAGUUUUAACAUUCUUCAAAAGUCCAAGUCCAAGUCUCAUCUGAGAUUCCAUGGAAACACUUAGCUGUUAGCUUCUGAAAAAAAAAAUCUAAACCAUGUUAUAUAUUCCAAAGUACAAUGGCACAGGGUAAACAUUCCCAUUGCAAAAGGGAGAAAUAGGAGGAUAGAAAAGAAUUGUACCAAACCAAGACUGAAACCCAGCAGGGAAAAUAUUGAGUUCUAUUGUUCCAUAUUCAGUAUCCAGGGGCAAUGAUAGAGGGAUGUGAUUUCCAAAGGCCUUGGGCAG
rnacentral:lncRNA from 1 species